GACCAGAUAGCUCAAUUGGUAGAGCGUCCGUCUGGGGUUCGGAAGGUCCUGGGUUUGAACCCCAGUCUGGUCA